AUGUAUGCCUAAAUGGGGGGGAGGAUACUUUUUCAGCUACCUUUAAGCGGGUCAUUCCUAAAAACCCCCUGCAUUACCUUUAUAAAUUUCAAAGAAACACUUGGGUUUAACCUCUUCCACACUUCCGAAGAGUAAGACUCCUUUCUGCGUUGGCGAGCUGCUUUUCUUUUUCCUCUGAACCGCCCCCAAACCCCAUGCGUGUAUUGGUCCCUUUCUCAGCGGUGAAUUAUUUAAAAGCAGGACCAUCCUGAGCGCUGCAGCUUGUGCUUAUAUGGAAGUCAGUGGAGCCUGAGCCAUAUAGUUGCUCGAGCAGAGCCUUUCCUUGACCAGUCACGAACCUCUGCAGCUCUCCCGAGUUGCAGAGCCGGGGUUUUCAUCCUGCGCCUUGUCAUGGGUUCAUUUGGAGACCGAUGAUACCAGCGAAUAUUUCCCUGCCUCCAUUAUUAAUAUCAGUCAUAGGCUUGAAGUCUCAUAGCGCAAAUCCUUCGCUUGUCUCUAUUGUAACCUGAGAGCAAAUACGGAAAAUAAUGAAUGCUUUGAAGGGCUUUUUUUUCAAGGUGCAGAUAAGCGAUCUCCGUAUCUUUUCCUAGCCGGGAGGUUGUUAUUUUAUCUAGUGCUUGACAGAUCCAUACACCAGGGACACCGGCACUCCUAGCUGUUGUUAAUGGUGCGGCCGUUUCUUCCGGAAAUGCCCGUUGAUUCGUACUGGUGAUUAGGUUGCCUUGGACAACUGGAGCGCGACGGGCAAGAAGCGACCCUGAUUUGCGGCAAAUAGAGAAUAAAUGAUUUAAGAGGCAACAGGGAAAGCAGCAUUUCUCGUUGCCCGAGCUGAGCACGGGCGGCGGCAGGCCCCCGCUGGCCCAGGGCGGGAGCGGGGCACGCGGGCACGGACGAGACGAGAAAGCCCCCGCACUGCUCUGCGGCUCGGGUGCGGCGCGGAUAGAAAUGCUUCAUUCCUAUUGGACAAGCAGACCAACGCGACUACAAAUGCCGCUUCCUAUUGGGUGGCAUUCUGAUACCCGCCGGGACAAGGGGGGAGCCGGGAGCUCCCAGCCUGGAGCUGCUGCUUCUUGCACUUACGUUUGCCCUGGACAGUUAGUUAUACUGCUCCCUGCUUGAAUCGGUUCCUUUUUAGAGCAGAAGGAAGCAGCUUUUGAUGGCUCGUGUAAAGCAGCUCAAUCGUAAGGUUGCCACUGAAGGACUCCCUCGGGAGGACCUGCUCAAGAGAACAGCUCGAAAAAGGGUAGCAGAGACAAUCUAUGCAUCCCCUAUGGAGCAGGUACCUGGGAAAAAGCCUGCUGGAAAAACCCGUGCUUCUGCAGCAGAAGAGGUGGAGAAGCCUCUGCAUCCCCAGUCUCGCCCCCACGCUAAAAUGUUCCAAAAAAUUCACUGAUAUCAGCAACACAGCGGCCUGGUGAUUUCCCCGCUUGGCUUCCGACGACUAAUGAAAGACGCUUGUGAUCUGAAGAGUAACUUGCAUUUCCAGUCGCCAGCUCUCCUGCCUCUGCAGGAAGCCACUGAAGCUCAUCUCCUGCGGCUGUUUGAAGACUGGAACCAAUGUGCUCUUCAUGCAAAAAGAGCCUCCGUGCAACCCAGCGAUGUUCAUCUUGUGAGAUGCCUCCAGGGAGACAGAACGUGAACUUCAUAGAGGCACACAGGACAACCCUUCUCAGGAAAGAUUUCUCUACAGCUUUCCUUGGGAGUCACCAUGCUGCUGUAGAGGGAAGCACUUGGUUCAUCUUUGUAGCUUUGUUUGUUUUUACAUUUUUAGUUUUUUAAAACUUUUGUUAAAUAGCCUUUCAAAUGUCUCAAAUACAUGGCUAUUACCCUUUUUUAAGACGAUGGGAGAAGCUGAUGGUUUCUCCAAACAGGAAUGCAAAGUUCCCUUUAAUGUUCUCCUCUUUGUAACGUUAAGAUACACUGCUGUCGUUAAGUGAGUUUCUUUGUGCUGGGAAUAAAUGUUUCGCAACAGAAUAUAUAAAUAUAAUAAUGUAAAAAAUAAAGAUCUAUGGUAGUCAAGG